rnacentral:rRNA from 1 species
UACGGAGGAUGCGAGCGUUUUCCGGAUUUAUUGGGUUUAAAGGGUGCGUAGGCGGACUGUCAAGUCAGCGGUAAAAUUGAGAGGCUCAACCUCUUCCCGCCGUUGAAACUGGUGGUCUUGAGUGGAUGAGAAGUACGCGGAAUGCGUGGUGUAGCGGUGAAAUGCAUAGAUAUCACGCAGAACUCCGAUUGCGAAGGCAGCGUACCGGCAUCCAACUGACGCUGAGGCACGAAAGCGUGGGGAUCAAACAGG